rnacentral:rRNA from 1 species
UACCAGCACCCCGAGUGGUUGGGGCGAUUAUUGGGCCUAAAGCAUCCGUAGCCGGUCCUACAAGUCUUCCGUUAAAUCCACCUGCUUAACAGAUGGGCUGCGGAAGAUACUAUAGGGCUAGGAGGCGGGAGAGGCAAGCGGUACUCAGUGGGUAGGGGUAAAAUCCUCUGAUCCAUUGAAGACCACCAGUGGCGAAGGCGGCUUGCCAGAACGCGCUCGACGGUGAGGGAUGAAAGCUGGGGGAGCAAACCGG